UGGCCUACGGGGGGCAGCAGUGAGGAAUAUUGGUCAAUGGACGAGAGUCUGAACCAGCCAAGUAGCGUGAAGGAUGACUGCCCUAUGGGUUGUAAACUUCUUUUAUAUGGGAAUAAAGUGAGCCACGUGUGGCUUUUUGUAUGUACCAUACGAAUAAGGAUCGGCUAACUCCGUGCCAGCAGCCGCGGUAAUACGGAGGAUCCGAGUGUUAUCCGGAUUUAUUGGGUUUAAAGGGAGCGUAGAUGGGUUGUUAAGUCAGUUGUGAAAGUUUGCGGCUCAACCGUAAAAUUGCAAUUGAUACUGGC
rnacentral:rRNA from 1 species